CCUCAAGCUUGCUUGGGGUACUCGAGUGGCGAACGGGUGAGUAAUACGUGGGUAACCUGCCCUCUUCUUUGGGAUAAGCCCCGGAAACGGGGUCUAAUACCGGAUAUUCUGCUUCUGCCGCAUGGUGGGGGUUGGAAAGGUUUUUCGGUGGGGGAUGGGCCCGCGGCCUAUCAGCUUGUUGGUGGGGUGAUGGCCUACCAAGGCUUCGACGGGUAGCCGGCCCUGAGAGGGUGACCGGCCACAUUGGGACUGAGAUACGGCCCGGACUCCUACGGGAGGCAGCAGUA
rnacentral:rRNA from 1 species